rnacentral:rRNA from 1 species
GACGAACGCUGGCGGCGUGCUUAACACAUGCAAGUCAAACGGAGCACCCUUGAUUGAGGUUUCGGCCAAAUGAUAGGAAUGCUUAGUGGCGGACUGGUGAGUAACGCGUGAGGAACCUGCCUUUCAGAGGGGGACAACAGUUGGAAACGACUGCUAAUACCGCAUGACGCAUUUUGAUCGCAUGGUCGAAAUGCCAAAGAUUUAUCGCUGAAAGAUGGCCUCGCGUCUGAUUAGCUAGUUGGUGAGGUAACGGCUCACCAAGGCGACGAUCGGUAGCCGGACUGAGAGGUUGACCGGCCACAUUGGGACUGAGAUACGGCCCAGACUCCUACGGGAGGCAGCAGUGGGGAAUAUUGGCAAUGGGCGCAAGCCUGACCCAGCAACGCCGCGUGAAGGAAGAAGGCUUUCGGGUUGUAAACUUCUUUUAAGUGGGAAGAGUAGAAGACGGUACCACUUGAAUAAGCCACGGCUAACUACGUGCCAGCAGCCGCAGUAA